GCGGAUGUGGCGAAAUGGCAGACGCCCUAGACUUAGAAUCUAGUGAAGAAAUUCGUGAGAGUUCAAGUCUCUCCAUCCGCA
rnacentral:tRNA from 1 species